AGGGGUUGCCAUGGAAACCACGCUGUCCUGAAGCAUCAGUAGAGCUGGUCUCUUCCCCACCUUUCUUCCCCCAGAAUGUUCUGCCAUGCUGCUGAGACAAUCCUCAGAUGUGUCCUGCUCUGUCCCACAUUCCAUCCCCAUGGCUGCACUAGCCCCAGCUGCCCACAGCUGCUCCCACCUGUCUGGUAGCAGCUUCCCCAGCCAUGAGGGGAUGGCCUGAUGGGAGACCUUUCACUGUCACAGCACUGGAGCAGCUCUCAUCUGGAGACACAGGCAGCCCUUGGACAAACCAAUAUGAAGAGGAUAUUAUUUCAUAAAGCCUUCAGGAUGAGAGAAACAUAACAUUCUCUUGUGUACCCCUGGGGAGAAUUUAAUAGUCAUGACUUCCCAAAGCAAAUCUUUAUGAGACCUGGAGGCAGAAAAGCCAUCACUGGACAAAGAAGAGCUUGGAUUUUGAGUGCUUUGGCUGAGCUAAUUCAAUUUACAGGCUCAUUAACCAGACUGCAAAUGAAAGGGGAAGACAGCACAUCUCCACAGGAACUCUCAGUGUCGCAACAGUCCCUGGGUCUUAAAACCUCAAGAGCCCCUGGUGCAGCAUCAGUCUGCUCAAAAUAGGAUCCAACAGGUCAAGAA